UACGUAGGGUGCGAGCGUUAUUCGGAAUUACUGGGCGUAAAGCGUGCGCAGGCGGUUCUCCAAGUCCGUUGUGAAAGCCCCGGGCUCAACCUGGGAAUGGCAGUGGAAACUAGGGGACUGGAAUCUGGCAGAGGGGGGUGGAAUGCCGCGUGUAGCAGUGAAAUGCGUAGAGAUGCGGCGGAACACCGAUGGCGAAGGCAAUCCCCUGGGCCUGCACUGACGCUCAUGCACGAAAGCGUGGGGAGCAAACAGG
rnacentral:rRNA from 1 species